UGUAACUUGACUUGGGAUAGGAAUACGAAACCGAAGUUGCUAAUACCGCAUAAUGCAGCGGCACCUAAUGGUGACAGUUGUUAAAGCGGGGGAUCGAAAGACCUCGCGUCUGAAGAGGAGCCUGCGGCGGAUUAGCUAGUUGGUAAGGUAAUGGCUUACCAAGGCUACGAUCCGUAACCGGCCUGAGAGGGCGGUCGGUCACACUGACACUGACAUACGGGUCAG
rnacentral:rRNA from 1 species